rnacentral:lncRNA from 1 species
ACAAAGUCUCACACUGUCACCUCGGUUGGAGUACACUGGCGUGAUCUCGGCUCACUGCAACCUCUGCCUCCUGGGUUCAAGUGACUCUCUUGCCUCAGCCUCACGGAGUCUCACUUUUUUGUCCUGGCUAGACCACAGUGCUGCAAUCUCAUCUCACUGCAACCUCUGCCUCCUGGGUUCAAGCGAUUCUUCUGCCUUAGCCUCCCGGGUAGCUGGGACCACAGGCAGGCUCCACCAUGCCUGGCUAAAAUUUUUGUAUUUUUAGUAGAGACAGGGUUUCACCAUAUAGGCCAAGCUGGUCUCAAACUCCUGACCUCAUGAUCUGCACGCUUAGGCCUCCCAAAGUGCUGGGAUUAUAGAUGUGAGACACCGUGCCUGGCUAUAGUUGCAAUUUUUUAAAAUGCUACAUACAUUAUGACUAGUUCAUUAAAAUUAUUCAUACUU